GUGAAAGGUUGGAGUACUGGGAGUGGUGAUUAGCUAGGCUGUGACUUGAGCAAAUUAAGAUGGAAAAAGGAUGGAUGCAUGCUGAUAGGAGAUCGUUGAGUGGUUAGUUUUAUGUACUUCAUUGUAUAUUUCACCUUCGAUUACCUUAAUUCUUUAUUUUCAGGGUAUUCCGGAGCAAAAAAAUGACAAGACUUGUGGAUAUUUCAUUAUGCGUUACAUGAAAGAAAUUGUGGAGGACAAGAACUUGGAUUUUAGUGUUAAGUGGGGAACGAGGUCAAAUUUGGUUUACACAGACAAGGAUAUUAUUGAGAUCCGAGCGGAAUGGGCUAAGCAUGUUUUGAAGUUCCCAGAAAAUUAAGUAUCAGCCUAUAUAUCUGCUUUUGUUUCUGGUAGC